CACAAAUUCCUCCAUCAAAAGAUUCAAAACCCACCAUACCCACAAUCCAAUAAAUAUCUCCUUCCUUAGACCCACGGCAAAACCCACCUUCCAUCCAAAGAACACCACUUCUACCACCAAAAACACAGAUUUCUCAAUCAUUAGACCCACGGCAAAACCCACCUUCCAUCCAAAGAACACCACUUCUACCACCAAAAACACAGAUUUCUCAAUCAAAACCACCAUAUACCCACAAAUCAACAGAGAUUGUUUUUGGCCAAUCCCCUUCUACUCCCUCCAAAAUGCAGACCCACCCACAACCGCAAGCCACAAACCACCGCAGACCCACCAACAACCGCAAGCCACAAACCACCAACAUGCAACCUCAACAACCCACAAACGCCACUGAGAACAACGCACCCCAACCCUCCCGUCGGCGAUACACCAUCACACCCAACCCACCCGUCGAAACCGGCCCAAAGAGAAGCACCCAACACCCGAGGCAGAACAAUCCCACUUGAAUGGUUGCCUUAGUCCCUACUGUUAAGUGAAUCCUACCACAGGUCCAUCUGUGGCAGAGGGUAUGGCUUCCUUUUCAGUUGUCAUCAUUGGCCACUUGGCCUCACCAGGUCUAUCUCUAUCUCUCUUCAAAUUUAGACUCUCUGUUCUAUAAAUUUUUUCCCUUUACAAGAUAUAUUUUUAUGGUGGAAUGCUUGUGAUUAAGAUGACUGAUAUUUAGGUAAUUGUUAACUGAAGCUUGGUUUUAUGUUUAAGUUUAGAAGCUAUCUACAAAUUCCAGCAAUAGCAAAGUGCAUAAUUGAAAAGGUAGAGCUAUGUUUUUACUUCUUCCAUAUCUAUUUUUGAAGUAUAUUUUGUGCAAAUA